rnacentral:rRNA from 1 species
AUUGAACGCUGGCGGCAGGCCUAACACAUGCAAGUCGAACGGCAGCACAGAAGAGCUUGCUCUUUGGGUGGCGAGUGGCGGACGGGUGAGUAAUGUCUGGGAAACUGCCCGAUGGAGGGGGAUAACUACUGGAAACGGUAGCUAAUACCGCAUAACGUCGCAAGACCAAAGUGGGGGACCUUCGGGCCUCACACCAUCGGAUGUGCCCAGAUGGGAUUAGCUAGUAGGUGGGGUAAUGGCUCACCUAGGCGACGAUCCCUAGCGGGUCUGAGAGGAUGACCAGCCACAAUGGAACUGAGACACGGUCCAGACUCAUACGGGAGGCAGCAGUGGGGAAUAUUGCACAAUGGGCGCAAGCCUGAUGCAGCCAUGCCGCGUGUAUGAAGAAGGCCUUCGGGUUGUAAAGUACUUUCAGCGGGGAGGAAGGCGGUGAGGUUAAUAACCUUGCCGAUUGACGUUACCCGCAGAAGAAGCACCGGCUAACUCCGUGCCAGCCGCCGCCGUAA